GACGAACGCUGGCGGCGUGCCUAAUACAUGCAAGUAGAACGCUGAAGAGAGGAGCUUGCUCUUCUUGGAUGAGUUGCGAACGGGUGAGUAACGCGUAGGUAACCUGCCUUGUAGCGGGGGAUAACUAUUGGAAACGAUAGCUAAUACCGCAUAACAAUGGAUGACCCAUGUCAUUUAUUUGAAAGGGGCAAAUGCUCCACUACAAGAUGGACCUGCGUUGUAUUAGCUAGUAGGUGAGGUAACGGCUCACCUAGGCGACGAUACAUAGCCGACCUGAGAGGGUGAUCGGCCACACUGGGACUGGGACACGGCCCAGACUCCUACGGGAGGCAGCAGUAGGGAAUCUUCGGCAAAGGGGGCAACCCUGACCGAGCAACGCCGCGUGAGGGAAGAAGGUUUUCGGAUCGUAAAGCUCUGUUGUAAGUCAAGAACGAGUGUGAGAGUGGAAAGUUCACACUGUGACGGUAGCUUACCAGAAAGGGACGGCUAACUACGUG
rnacentral:rRNA from 1 species